CUUCACCGACCCCAGCAGCACCGGCCUGCCCUCGGGACGCUCCUGCCCGUACGUCGCCAACAGCGCCUGCGCCUC
rfam:Streptomyces sp. 3124.6 genome assembly, chromosome: I